AAAAUUCAUUAUCGGAAUAUAUAUUAUUUCUGAAGAGUUAAAUUUUAUUUUUUAAAUAAAUUAAGAAUAAUUUAAUUUAAUUUUUAUAUGUUGAGUAUGCAAGUGUGUAAAUUAGAUUUGUCAGUGAGAAAGAGAGGGAGAAGUUGGCAACAUCACGAGAGAGAGAUGAAUAAAUGUUGGUGAUGCAUGAGAUGAGAUUAAGUUGGCAGGCUGAACAAUUCUCCCAAGAGAAUAAAUUCCUUUUCCAGGAGACAGACCACUCCCAUUGCGCAAAUUAAAAGAUGGAGAAAAAAAAAAUGAGUGUGAGUGAGUAAUGAGUUUCUGUGAAAAUUCCAAAUGUCAGGACAUGUACACCAAUAAUAUGAGUGAUGAAUGGUGAGAAAGCAGAGCAUCUAAUGCCAACUGCUGCGGGCGGGUGCAUUCCAAAUCAUAUAUUCCAUUCUCUUUCAGCCUUCAUGUUCACAUUUUAACUCACUACUCUUCCCUAUAAAUUAGCAUUAUGUUCCCAAAGCAGAGCCCAGCACAGGUUAAUUAAACACAAACCAUCUCUUUGCGUGGAAACAAUGGCAUCCUUGAAAGCUGAGAAGCCUGUUGGAACCCAAAUUUCUGGGCAGGGCAAGAAGGAACCUGCAGCCAAGGCUACUGAUGCUCCCUCCAAAUCUGCAGCUUCCAAGUCCUCUGCUCCCAAGAAGGCUGCACCAAAUCAAUCCAAAAAGAAGGGAAAAGGUGGUAAAUCAGGGAAGAACUGAUCACAGAACUUUGCAUAUGACGUGGGAAAGGAGAAUUUAAAUUGACGACAGCGAGUAUUAGUUGUCUUAUGCAAUUAUAUUUUCGGCUUAUUUUUAAUUUUUAAUUUUAAACA